UACAGAGGGGGCAAGCGUUGUUCGGAAUUACUGGGCGUAAAGGGCGCGUAGGCGGCCCUCUAAGUCAGACGUGAAAUCCCCCGGCUUAACCUGGGAACUGCGUCUGAUACUGGAGGGCUUGAGUAUGGGAGAGGGAUGUAGAAUUCCAGGUGUAGCGGUGAAAUGCGUAGAUAUCUGGAGGAAUACCGGUGGCGAAGGCGGCAUCCUGGACCAUUACUGACGCUGAGGCGCGAAAGCUAGGGGAGCAAACGGG
rnacentral:rRNA from 1 species